rnacentral:rRNA from 1 species
UACGGAGGAUCCGAGCGUUAUCCGGAUUUAUUGGGUUUAAAGGGUGCGCAGGCGGUCUGUUAAGUCAGCGGUCAAAGCCCGGGGCUCAACCCCGGCCCGCCGUUGAAACUGGCUGGCUUGAGUUGGGGAAAGGCAGGCGGAAUGCGCGGUGUAGCGGUGAAAUGCUUAGAUAUCACGAAGAACUCCGAUUGCGAAGGCAGCAUGCCGGCUCCACACUGACGCUGAUGCUCGAAAGUGUGGGUAUCAAACAGG